UACGGAGGGUGCAAGCGUUAUCCGGAUUCACUGGGUUUAAAGGGUGCGUAGGUGGGUUGGUAAGUCAGUGGUGAAAUCUCCGGGCUUAACCUGGAAACUGCCAUUGAUACUAUCAAUCUUGAAUACCUUGGAGGUGAGCGGAAUAUGUCAUGUAGCGGUGAAAUGCUUAGAUAUGACAUAGAACACCAAUUGCGAAGGCAGCUCACUACACGGUCAUUGACACUGAGGCACGAAAGCGUGGGGAUCAACAGG
rnacentral:rRNA from 1 species